rnacentral:lncRNA from 1 species
AGAAAAAUACCCAGUUUUUGAUUUUAUGAUCCAAGGUUUCUCUGAAAAUGAUGUAUGAUUGAACAGAGACAAAUUAGAAGAGUAUGCAGAGAAAGAAGUCUGGGAAGGGGAGGUUAAAAGGAAAUCAUACGCCCUUUACCACCCCAAUUUGCUCCUCCUGGAAACAUUCUCAGUGAUAGUCUAUAGAAUUCUGCAAGCUCGUUGGUCACUGAUUCAUCACUGCUGUAGUAAGGAUGAGAUGAGGUUACUAGAUUUCGUUGCUUAUGGAAUUGUUCAAAGGAUCAAUCAGCUUGGUGACUGAAAGACCCAAACAGCAAUAGAUGAUGGAACCAUUAGUGUGGAAGUGACAAGUUUUCUGUCAUGGACUGACUACUGUCAACUACUGUCAAAUGACAAUUCAUUACUCUCUUAAAAAAAAAUUAAAAUAAAUUCUGUCUUUC